CAUGCUUCCGGCCGCCAUGCGGGCCGCGGGAAUUCGAUUCGUAUUACCGCGGCUGCUGGCACGUAGUUAGCCGGUGCUUAUUCUUCAGGUACCGUCAUUAGCAAAAGAUAUUAGCUCUCACGUUUCUUCCCUGACAAAAGAGCUUUACAACCCGAAGGCCUUCUUCACUCACGCGGCAUUGCUGGAUCAGGCUUUCGCCCAUUGUCCAAAAUUCCCCACUGCUGCCUCCCGUAGGAGUCUGGACCGUGUCUCAGUUCCAGUGUGGCUGGUCGUCCUCUCAGACCAGCUACUGAUCGAUGCCUUGGUAGGCCUUUACCCCACCAACUAGCUAAUCAGAUAUCGGCCGCUCCAGGAGCAUGAGGUCUUGCGAUCCCCCACUUUCAUCCUUAGAUCGUAUGCGGUAUUAGCGUAACUUUCGCUACGUUAUCCCCCACUCCAGGGUACGUUCCGAUAUAUUACUCACCCGUUCGCCACUCGCCGCCAGGUUGCCCCGCGCUGCCGUUCGACUUGCAUGUGUAAGGCAUGCCGCCAGCGUUCAAUCUGAGCCAUGAUCAAACUCUAAUCACUAGUGAAUUCGCGGCCGCCUGCAGGUCGACCAUAUGGGA
rnacentral:rRNA from 1 species